rnacentral:rRNA from 1 species
GACGAACGCUGGCGGCGUGCCUAAUACAUGCAAGUAGAACGCACAGUUUAUACCGUAGCUUGCUACACCAUAGACUGUGAGUUGCGAACGGGUGAGUAACGCGUAGGUAACCUGCCUGGUAGCGGGGGAUAACUAUUGGAAACGAUAGCUAAUACCGCAUAAUAUUAAUUAUUGCAUGAUAAUUAAUUGAAAGGUGCAAUUGCACCACUACCAGAUGGACCUGCGUUGUAUUAGCUAGUAGGUGAGGUAACGGCUCACCUAGGCGACGAUACAUAGCCGACCUGAGGGGGUGAUCGGCCACACUGGGACUGAGAAACGGCCCAGACUCCUACGGGAGGCAGCAGUAGGGAAUCUUCGGCAAUGGACGAAAGUCUGACCGAGCAACGCCGCGUGAGUGAAGAAGGUUUUCGGAUCGUAAAGCUCUGUUGUAAGAGAAGAACGGGUGUGAGAGUGGAAAGGUCACACUGUGACGGUAUCGUACCAGAAAGGGACGGCUAACUACGU